rnacentral:rRNA from 1 species
GACGAACGCUGGCGGCGUGCCUAACACAUGCAAGUCGAGCGAAUGAAAUUCCUUCGGGAACGGAUUUAGCGGCGGACGGGUGAGUAACACGUGGGCAACCUGCCUCAUAGAGGGGAAUAGCCUUCCGAAAGGGAGAUUAAUACCGCAUAAGAUUGUAGUACCGCAUGGUACAGCAAUUAAAGGAGCAAUCCGCUAUGAGAUGGGCCCGCGGCGCAUUAGCUAGUUGGUGAGGUAACGGCUCACCAAGGCGACGAUGCGUAGCCGACCUGAGAGGGUGAUCGGCCACAUUGGGACUGAGACACGGCCCAGACUCCUACGGGAGGCAGCAGUGGGGAAUAUUGCACAAUGGGGAAAACCCUGAUGCAGCAACGCCGCGUGAGUGAUGACGGCCUUCGGGUUGUAAAGCUCUGUCUUCAGGGACGAUAAUGACGGUACCUGAGGAGGAAGCCACGGCUAACUACGUGCCAGCAGCCGCAGUAACAC